CCUUGAUAAUUUUGGUCAAAACAUGACAAAUGAAUGAUUUAAGUGAACCAUUUUCUAUUAGCCUAGUGUUUGUAUAUUUACUUUGAGCAACCUCCCAAAAAUAUAUAUAUUUAUAUAUACAGGCAGUCAUUGCAGGAAAAGUUGCAUCCUCCUGGGCAUCAUCGAAAGGUCAGAGUCAGAAUUUUCUUGAAAAACCUGGUUGAAACACAGGCAAUCAUGUCACAAUCAAGUAGCAUUUGUUGUGGAUGUGCUUCUGCCAGAGUUUUUUUUUUUUUUUUUUUAAUCAUGUUAACAUAUUUUGUAUUAUUGCUAUUGUCAGUCUUUGACUUAUGAUUAAUAUCUUGUUAACUGCUACAUGACAGACUACUUUAAUGUCUAAAUGAAAGAUGUCCUUUUGUUCACCUCCUGACACAGGCAACAGUCCACACCCUUGCAGCUGUCCAUGCAGUUUCGGUCAUGGGAGGCAAUCGGGGAACCCAGGAGCAGACACAGAUCAGGCUGACAGUGAGAAACAGCUGUUGGCUCAUUAACUGGCAAAAAACAUGAGCAAGGAGGCACAAAAGAAAAAAAAACUGUGCUGAACAAUUACAAAGAGCUCUGGAGUCCGAAGACUUUUUGAAGAGGCUGUAGCUGGCAGGACAUUUAAUUGACCUGUGUUACCCUGUGUGGUACUUUAUUGGCAAUAAAACAAUAAAAGCUGUU